rnacentral:rRNA from 1 species
UACGGAAGGUCCUGGUGUUAUCCGGAUUUAUUGGGUUUAAAGGGAGCGUAGGCCGUCAGGCAAACGUGUUGUGAAAUGUCGUGGCUCAACCAUGGACUUGCAGCGCGAACUGCCCGACUUGAGUGCGCAGAAAGCAGGCGGAAUUUGUGGUGUAGCGGUGAAAUGCUUAGAUAUCACGAAGAACCCCGAUUGCGAAGGCAGCCUGCUGUAGCGCUACUGACGCUGAAGCUCGAAAGUGCGGGUAUCGAACAGGAUUAGAUACCCUGGUAGUCCGCACGGUAAACGAUGGAUGCCCGCUGUUCGGUUUACGGACCGAGCGGCUAAGUGAAAACGUUAAGCAUCCCACCUGGGGAGUACGCCGGCAACGGUGAAACUCAAAGGAAUUGACGGGGGCCCGCACAAGCGGAGGAACAUGUGGUUUAAUUCGAUGAUACGCGAGGAACCUUACCCGGGCUUGAAUUGCAGAGGAAAGAUCCAGAGAUGGAGAUGCCCUUCGGGGCCUCUGUGAAGGUGCUGCAUGGUUGUCGUCAGCUCGUGCCGUGAGGUGUCGGCUUAAGUGCCAUAACGAGCGCAACCCCUAUUUUCAGUUGCCAUCAGGUUAAGCUGGGCACUCUGGAGAGACUGCCGCCGCAAGGUGAGAGGAAGGCGGGGAUGACGUCAAAUCAGCACGGCCCUUACGUCCGGGGCUACACACGUGUUACAAUGGCCGGUACAACGAGAAGGCUGCCCGCAAGGUCAGUCAAAUCCUGAAAACCGGUCUCAGUUCGGACUGGAGUCUGCAACCCGACUCCACGAAGCUGGAUUCGCUAGUAAUCGCGCAUCAGCCAUGGCGCGGUGAAUACGUUCCCGGGCCU